rnacentral:rRNA from 1 species
AUUGAACGCUGGCGGCAUGCUUUGCACAUGCAAGUCGAACGGUAACAGGCCGCAAGGUGCUGACGAGUGGCGAACGGGUGAGUAAUGCAUCGGAACGUGCCCAGUCGUGGGGGAUAACUACUCGAAAGAGUAGCUAAUACCGCAUACGAUCUAUGGAUGAAAGCGGGGGACCGUAAGGCCUCGCGCGAUUGGAGCGGCCGAUGUCAGAUUAGGUAGUUGGUGGGGUAAAGGCUCACCAAGCCAACGAUCUGUAGCUGGUCUGAGAGGACAACCAGCCACACUGGGACUGAGACACGGCCCAGACUCCUACGGGAGGCAGCAGUGGGGAAUUUUGGACAAAGGGCGCAAGCCUGAUCCAGCAAUGCCGCGUGCAGGAAGAAGGCCUUCGGGUUGUAAACUGCUUUUGUACGGAACGAAACGGCUCUGGUUAAUACCCGGGGCUAAUGACGGUACCGUAAGAAUAAGCACCGGCUAACUACGUG